UUCAUCCAUGAGCUCAGAUUUCCCACAUUACAACUUCAGGAUGCCUAAUAUUGGAUUCCAGAAUCUACCACUCAACAUAUAUAUUGUGGUUUUUGGCACUGCUAUAUUUGUCUUCAUCCUUAGUUUACUCUUCUGUUGCUACUUGAUUAGGCUAAGACAUCAAGCACACAAAGAAUUUUAUGCCUACAAACAGGUUAUAUUAAAAGAGAAAGUAAAAGAACUGAAUUUACAUGAGCUCUGUGCAGUGUGUCUAGAAGACUUCAAGCCUCGAGAUGAGUUGGGGAUAUGUCCAUGUAAGCAUGCCUUCCACAGAAAGUUUUGUAUUUGUAUUAGAAAACUUUAUUCCGCCUCCUUCCCACCACCCUCCUCAGUGUACUUCAUUCUUUAAGAAGUCAUGGAUGACUGAGGUGCCUUAUUAAGUGGCUGGAGGUUCGCAAAGUAUGUCCACUGUGCAACAUGCCAGUACUUCAGCUGGCCCAGUUGCACAGUAAGGAGGACCGUGGACCCCCACAGGGGCCCCUCCCUGGGGCAGAGAACAUUGUAUAGCUCACCACAAGAAUCAAACUGUUGCAGGAUCCAACAUCUGCAUGGAGCCAGGAGGAACACAAGCGGUCUCUGUGUUGGCUGCUCUGCCUGGGGCAUCAGCUGCCACUUCCUUUUUCUCAUAAAGAACUCUUGGGCUAGCUAAUCUGGGGACCCAGACUUGUGGGUCUGGGACAACCAAAGUACUCUGACACUACCCCAUGCCAAGAGAAGAGGAGUGGAUGAGCCUGCUGGUUUGGUUCUAGAAACUUCAUGAGGGUCUCUUGCUAACUCCAUACACUCUGUCUCCCAGACAUUGAUCUCCAUGUCAAGGUGAAUCUUUAUCAACCAGAAGGGAAGAUAAUCACAAGUGUUAGAGAAGGAAACUGAGGGAAAGUCUUUAAAGCCACCCCCACCCUGGGACAGAUGAGCUUCUAUGCAGACCGUGCAUGCCUUUGCAGCAGCAGACUCUCCCGGCAGCCCCUGAGCCAAGGGAAAACAGCGGUUACCUCAGCCCAAGAACAACUGGGUGCAGUGCCGGAGGCAGUGCCAACAAGGCUUUUCACGUUAUGUUCCUUUGAUAAGGCCAUCUUGGAACCCAAGGGCUUUGGUUACAACAGAACAGCAGUACCCCUCGCCGCCAGUUCUCCCUCGAGGUCACAACACUUGCUUAUCAGAUCAUCUAAGCUAAAAACAUUAGAUGUGCUUGGAAAGGUCUGGUCAGAAGCCAUUUCCUCUUAUUCCCCCUCCUACUCACCAAUGAGGCACAGCCAAGUGCCAUUAAGAGCCCCAGCAGGGGGUGGUUCUCUGAGUCCCUGCUGUCCCCGUGUGACCCAAACGCCUCGGGGUGCUGCCCACAUCCCCACACAUGCAGUAUGGCUCCAGCGUAGCUGCUGGUCUUGGCCCACUGCCUCUGUGGGGAGCUGCUCUGAGCCCCUCACAUGGCUCCAAAGAGGAGCAUCUUUCUGACAAUGACCAGUCCUCCAGGUCCUGCCAGGCUGAGGGGAGGAUGCGGCCCCCCUUGCCUCUCCCCAUCCUUCCCUCUUCUCCUCCCUCUCUAGUCCUGUCUCUAUUUCUACUCAGCAAAAUGCCUGUGGUUGACUUUUUAACAAUUUAAAGUAUCCCAAAUAAGAUCCCUAUGUCAUUCUGAAGCCAGGGAUCCACUUGAAAUUGUAAAUCUUUUCAGGAAGCUCCUGCAGGGCUAUUCGCCAUCAGUGCGUGCCUCAGUGUUCAGACUUGUGAUAAUUGAAAGUGUCUUUAUAGGAGAAAAAUGCAUGCUGCUCUUUGGCUCUUUCUGUCCAGUUUUCCUAGAAUUGACUCAAGAGUCCAGUAGGAUUUGUGACUGUUGUAUAAGUUAGCUCUGUGAAGCAGCUUUGGGUCAGAUAUAAAGUUCUUUUCCACAGCCCUGCUCACCACCUCCUUCCAUCAUAGGGAUGGAAUCCUCAUCGCCAGCUCUGCCUCUGCUCCAAACGCAGGUGUGAGUAGGGGAGUUUCACACUGGAAAUAGAGCCUGCAUGAUAUGGAGAGAGGGUGGAGGAGGCUUUGCUACUCUGUUCAUGGCAUGUCUCCAGAAAUUUUUUUGGAAUCCAGCCUCUACCGUCUUAGAAUGGGAGAGGGAACCUGUCCUUGGCUCAGGUGGCUGGGCUCAGUUGAGGAGGAAAAUUCCCAUUAGCCUAGAAAAUUGCUGGUCAGAAUCCAGUUUGGAAAAUUACAAAUCCAGUUGGUCAGAAUUGGCUGUACCCUUAUGUGUAACCUAUUCGUGGUAUGCCAACUGGACUGCUUCUUUAAACAGGGCAAGAGAAGUGUGGAAUAUUUUUAUAUGAAAGCCUUAGCCUGUUUGGCACCCAUGAAAAGAACUAUUUGUACACUCCUACUUUCACCCUCUGUUUCUGCAUUCUCUGUUUGUAGCACAAUAGAGUUGAAUGCUGCAAAGCACCCAGUUUACAGUGAAAUGUUUUCGGUGACCGGUGUCAGAAGUAGGCUUGUUUCUGGACUAACCUCAUUAAUAGCCAACACUCACCAUUUUCACCUCAUGGCUCUGGGACAAAUGUCACCUCUUUGCUAUGGGGUUCCAAUAAGAAAAAGAUCUUUUUCCUUCAAAAGAGGAAUUGUUGUGUUCUAUACUGCAGAUUAUUUCAUCUCACAGCUUUUGGAGGGUUAUAGCCUUUUGGUUACAGCCUUUUUCCAUCCCUGUGUGUCAGUGCCAAGGAGACAGCCUCAUAAAGUCCUGUAUUUGUAGGGAGACAAAUUAGUUCAUCUCACCAUGUCACAGCUCAAGCCACGUUGAGGUGGUUGGUGCAUUGCACUGGACCAAAGGCACAAAAGCCCAGCCUUUAGAAUGCUGUGUGUUCUCCAUGAGGCGCCAUCACGGGUCUACUUUACCGUAUGACCUCAACACUUGUGAACAUGGAGGGCUUUUUAAAACAUAGUUCUUCCACUAAGGUGGGGUUGGAUGCUGGAGUGCUGAAGAGUGAGCGCUCUGCUUGUAGUCAUUUUCCCUUCAUGGCUUGGUGUCCUUCUACUGCAGCAUGACCACUGUCACUUGAAGUAGUUCUUGACUCUUAGUGGCACAACGUGAAUGCACUUGCUCCACACAUCCAGACUCUCCUCCAAGACUUCCCUGUGCCGCUCUGAUGUAACUGGAAAUAGCCAGGGCUUAAUUUACGUCUUCCUUUAAUUCUAAUUAAAAUCACAGCUUUUUGUGAAGGGCAAGGUUAAAUCUCCUAUCUGAAUUUUUAUUUAGAGAAUGAGUUAAGGAUCCCUUACUAACUCUUUGAUCAGGCUCACACCUCACCGUUAAACCAGUGAGGCUGCCCUGUCCAAAUCUAUCUCCAUGAGUUGCUGACCUUUUUUAAUCUGUAGACAUGUGAGUACUCCGGGCUACUGGUUGGUAACGUGAUUUUUUUUUUUUUUUUUAACUUGGUCUUGAUGUAUCUUAAACGGCUCAGAGAUUGGGUGUUGUUUGUGUGCUUCGGGUUAGUGGAACAGAACUCAGCCCUAACUGGACUCCAUAGGUGGCUAAGUCAUUAUCUAGUUGUUACUAGGGAUACAGCUGAAUUCAGGUGGCUUUAGGAACAGGGAGCAAUACCAGCCUGAUUUGUUCCUAGUUGAGUAGUAUAAGACACUAGUUAUCUGCUGCUGUCCUUUGUCACAGUGAUUUGGUUAGGCCUAUCCCUAGUAGCUAAGGCCCCAGGCAAGGAAUAGGACAAAACAGUAAUAGCCAGAUGGGAGCAGGUGGCCCAUGGGGAGGUCCAGGCUGAAGGUACAGGGGAUCUCAUACCAUGGCCAAACACCCUGUUCUUGACAGAGGUCCCUUCACCAGUGCAUAGCCCCUCAGAUCCAUCACAGGAAUGACCUCGGGCCCUGUUCCCCUCCACAGCCCCAUUCCAAAGUCUGUUCAUCUUCAUGGCCUGAUCCUACUCUGCUAAGCUACUCUGAAUGACUGCAGUAAUUUUUUUCUGAGAGGCUUUCUGGGAAUUAUGAAAUGUACACAGGGAGGCACCCCCAGAGCUCUGGGCAGAAAAGGCGUUCAGAUUGAUGUGAAUCACUCACUGCCUUGCCACUCACUAGCCAUGUGCCUUCCCACAAGUUAGCCUCUCAAAGCCUGUUUACUUACCUGCCACCCAGGGACUCUAGAAGGGCAUCCCUACUGGCGCUUAUGGGGAUUGGCUACCAUGUCCAGAGCCUGGCAGACAGCAGGCCUGGGUCAUGGGUGCUGGUGCUACAAGGUGACAUCAUCACAGUGGCCACAUGGGGCUCCUCUGUUGUCCUGGCAAAACAGCCUCAAGAGAACCUCCUGAGAUGUAUGUGCCCUCCCCAGAGUCCCAGUUCACCUGGUUCCCUUCCCUUUCCCCUCUUGAUCUUACUUAGUCACUUCCAUGUACCUGUGCCCAUGGUGCUCCCUGACUUGGUUGCUCAGGGCUGAAUACUCCUUAAUUUUUUUUUUUUUUUUUUGUCUUUUUGCCAUUUCUAGGGCUGCUCCUGCAGCAUAUGGAAGUUCCCAGGCUAGGGAUCUAAUCGGAGCUGUAGCCACCGGCCCACACCACCGCCACAGCAACGUGGGAUCCAAGCCGCGUCUGCCACCUACACCAUAGCUCAUGGCAACGCUGGAUCCUCAACCCACUGGGCAAGGCCAGGGAUCAACCCUGCAACCUCAUGGUUCCUAGUCGGAUUCGUUAACCACUGAGCCACGACGGGAACUCCGCUCCUUAAUUUUUUAAAUAGGUAAUCCCUUCAUGGGGUUCACAAAUCGUAAACAAUUAAGUCUUCCUUGCAUCCCUGAUCUCCAGCAAGCCAAGCUUCUCACCUCUUGAGCACCCACUAUUAGUUGCUACUUGUGGAGCCUUCCAGAGACCCUUUAUGCAUAUACAAGCCGUGUGUGUGUGUGUGUGUGUGUGUGUGUGUGUGUGUGUAGGUAGGUAUGUAUGUGUAUGUAUACAGCUGACCCUUGAAUAACACCCCCUGUACAGCCUACACAUAACUCUACAGUCAGCUCUCUGUACUGAUGGUUCUGAUUCUAUGGAUUCAGCCAACUUCAGAUCGUAUGGAAAGUAUUUAUUGAAAAAAAUCCACAUGUAAGUGGACCUGCUCAGUUCAAACCCAUGUUGUUCAAGAAUCAACUUAUAUGUGUGUGUAUAAUUUUUUUUUCUACUUAUAUGAUACCGGACAAGUAUAUUCAAGGAGCAGUUCUGUUCUUGUGGGAAGGACCAUCCCAGAAGUCAGAAUGUCUGUAAAAGGUGAGCCCAGUAUUAGGGGAAUUUUUUUAAUCACACCCAUUCUGCCUAAGGCCUAUUUUCCACUAACUGAAGCAUGCUGAAAUUCUAGUUUUCUAUACAGAUACAGACCCUCCCUGACACCCUAACCAUAGUUGCCCAAAUAAUGAGCACAACCAGUUUCCAGCCUGAGUCUGUGACAGCACACUCAAGAGCAGGCUCCCCAGCCAAAAGUGACAGCACAGUCCAGCAGCUCCUGCAGGGGACUGGACAGGCUGCAGCUCCACCCCAACCCUCCAGUCUUGGCCACUUCCAAGGAGGACCAAGAGGCCAGCAGGACACCUGGCUACAGCUGUCACCAUUUCCUAGGCAGGCUCCCGUGUUUUUAAGAUAGGGGUUUGAGAAGUAGCAGUAACUGAAGGCCAAGGCAUCCUGUGUCUUGUGGGGUAGAUGUCUCAGACAUUGCUAAGUAAAUAGGUGGUCAGCUGCCUCAGAAUUUACAGCAGAUAUGCCUAAAUGUCCAUGUUCACAUUCAUGAACCUCCCUUUCUCUCGCUACUCUUAUGCACAAACUAAAUAGAAAAUGUUCCCAUAGAAUUUUCUCCUUGCCCAACAUUUUUUCCUUUCAACAGAAAUUAUCCCACCAAUAGUUUCUCUUUUAACAAAAAAUUCCCCCCCCAAUAUUUUCUUUCGGGGGGGGGGGGGGAAUUCACUUUUGCCCCUGCAGGAGAUCAAAGUUAAAAGUGCUUCCUCCAGGCAGCCCUUGGGAGGAGGGGCCACGUCUGUGCCUCUCAGUCCCCACCCAUCUCCCUGCUGUAAUGCCAGAGUAGAAGCCCAGGGCCUCCCUGGAUCAGAAGUUUAACUUUGGGGCCCCUGACCUGAAACUUGAAAAGGAAUUGUUUGUGAAAUUCCACCCUUCUGUCAUUGGAUGAACCUUAAGAGACUUUAAUAUUAGCAUUCAGGAAUCUGAGUAAAGGAGAUGAAUGUGUCUAAAUUCUGGUGAAGUCUGCAGCUGAUAACUGGAAAAUGCUGGGUUAUACUCCUUUAGUAGAUAAAAUUAACAAAGGUUUCACUCCAGUGUGCCAUGGAAUGUGCUUCCAUUUGAUUGGGACUACAAGGAAAAUAGAAAAGCUUGUUCAGUGUAUCUUUUAUUGUUCCAGUACAGCUUCAGAAUGUGAAUGGUUCCAAGAUGCUGAGUUUUAUUCCACUUUUAGACCAAGCAUGACCACACCUGGCUUACCAAUCCAGUACUCACGUCUGUGGCUACAGUGUCAGGGACUCCCUGCUCCAGGGACAUGUUCCUAGAAUGCGGGCCCCAUCAGAGUCAAGGGACUUGUCUAUACUUCGAUGAAGCCUCUCAGCUCCCUGGGCCAGUACGAGCCUCAGGACAGGUGCACGAGGUCCCUGAAUCCCCCCCUUUCCUCCCAGGCCCUGUUAGAGCAGGAGGCAGGUGGGGCCAGUAUUAGGAAGUCCUUCCUGAUAACAGUUCAGUCUUCCAAGAAUGUUUCUGAACUGUCAUCUCUGGUCUCUUGACAGAUCAUUGCCAGAAAGAGGGGAUAUGAGUCUUGUAGUUUAAGCCCAUUGGGGUUUAUUCACUAGAUAUAAUAACUCCCUCAAAAAAAGGUUUAUGAAAUGCUGAGGCUCAGGUUUCAUAGACAUGUUUGUACACUAGGAGUUCUGCAGCAGAAUAUUUUUAAACAUUCGCAAUUUUUUUUGUAAGCUAUAUUUUUGUAUAUUUAAUUGCUAUUUUAAAAUUUUAAUGCAUUUUGCUAAUUACUCUUGUUUAAAAUAUAAAACGUGCAUGUAAUUGACUUAAAUGUAAAUAAAAAGAUUUUGAAA
ensembl:lncRNA